rnacentral:rRNA from 1 species
GAUGAACGCUGGCGGCGUGCCUAAUACAUGCAAGUCGAGCGAAUGGAUUAAGAGCUUGCUCUUAUGAAGUUAGCGGCGGACGGGUGAGUAACACGUGGGUAACCUGCCCAUAAGACUGGGAUAACUCCGGGAAACCGGGGCUAAUACCGGAUAACAUUUUGAACCGCAUGGUUCGAAAUUGAAAGGGGGCUUCGGCUGUCACUUAUGGAUGGACCCGCGUCGCAUUAGUUAGUUGGGGAGGUAACGGCUCACCAAGGCAAGGAUGCGUAGCCGACCUGAGAGGGUGAUCGGCCACACUGGGACUGAGACACGGACCAGACUCCGACGGGAGGCAGCAGUAGGGAAUCUUCCGCAAUGGACGAAAGUCUGACGGAGCAACGCCGCGUGAGUGAUGAAGGCUUUCGGGUCGUAAAACUCUGUUGUUAGGGAAGAACAAGUGCUAGUUGAAUAAGCUGGCACCUUGACGGUACCUAACCAGAAAGCCACGGCUAACUACGUGCCAGCCACCGCCGUAA